AUUUCUCGGUCCCAGGCACUGGGUUUAGCGUUGUAAACUAGUAACUCAUCCUUGUUCCCCGAUGAUGGGCGUUAGGAUUCUUGCCUCCCCCCCGCCUUUUUUUUUUUGGUGGAGGGAGAACCCUGGUCCCCUGCCCCGCUGAGCCUCUCUGCGGUUUAUUCUACCCCCUCGCUCCCAGAUGCUGGCCGGAAGCGCCAGGAGGAAGGUGACUGGAACAGCGGAGUCGGGGACGGUUGCCAAUGCCAACGGCCCUGAGGGGCCGAACUACCGCUCGGAGCUCCACAUCUUCCCGGACUCACCCGGGGCCUCACUCGGGGGUCCCGAAGGCGCCCACCCUGCAGCCGCCCCUGCUGGGUGCGUCCCCAGCCCCAGCGCCCUGGCGCCAGGCUAUGCGGAGCCGCUGAAGGGUGUCCCGCCAGAGAAGUUCAACCACACCGCCAUCCCCAAGGGCUACCGCUGCCCCUGGCAGGAGUUCGUCAGCUACCGGGACUACCA
rnacentral:sRNA from 1 species